UCUUUCUUAAAGGACGUGGGGAGGGUGGGAGGCUCUGAAAAUCUGUUUUCUGUCAGGUCCAAGUAGAUGAAAUGUUCCCUCUGAUGGGUCCUAAAAGUGCAUUAGGAGAGCAUCUGAUCUGCAACUCCUGCGAGGUGGCUCUGAAAUGGGGCACAGCCCUUCGUCUCCCUUCCCUCAUCUCAGCCCUGGGACCUUUUUUCUCCAUAAUCCAAGGCUUAGAUCCUUGAUUUGGGAGGCAGAAGGAUCUUCUCAUCACACGGAAAUGCAGUCCUCUCCAUCCCCCCCGCCGCUGCACAUCCUUUUCCAAAAUACUGCAUAAUGUCAGACUAAAUCCUUAUCAGAAAUUUUAAUGAGCAAAAUAAAACCUGAAAUCUGUGUGAUUAAAAUCAAA